rnacentral:rRNA from 1 species
GACGAACGCUGGCGGCGUGCUUAACACAUGCAAGUCGAACGGGGAAGCUCCAGCGUGCUGGAGUGGAUCAGUGGCGAACGUGGGAGUAACACGUGAGCAACCUGCCCCGGACUCCGGAAUAAGCGCUGGAGACGGCGUCUAAUACUGGAUACGAGAUGGGUCCGCAUGGGCACGUUCUGGAAAGUGCGUCGGUUGGGGAUGGGCUCGCGGCCUAUCAGCUUGUUGGUGAGGUAAUGGCUCACCAAGGCGACGACGGGUAGCCGGCCUGAGAGGGCGACCGGCCACACUGGGACUGAGACACGGCCCAGACUCCUACGGGAGGCAGCAGUGGGGAAUAUUGCACAAUGGGCGAAAGCCUGAUGCAGCGACGCCGCGUGAGGGAUGACGGCCUUCGGGUUGUAAACCUAUUUCAGCAGGGAAGAAGCGAAAGUGACGGUACCUGCAGAAGAAGCACCGGCUAACUACGUG